ensembl:misc_RNA Gm55855 predicted gene, 55855
UGGGUAGACUGUUCCCCGGUCUUCAGAAUGGGUUCCUUUGUGGGGCACUCGGUCCAUUAAUUAGAAAAUCGCCUUCAUCUUAGAGGCUGGUGCUUCGGC